CCGCCCGCCUGCGCGCCCGCCGGCCUCCGGGAGUCCGGUAGCCGUCCGGCGGGGCGGGGCGGCCGCCACCAUGGAGCCCCAGCGCCGGGAGCUGCUCGCUCAGUGUCAGCAGAGCCUGGCCCAGGCCAUGACAGAGGUGGAGGCGGUGCUCGGGCUGCUCGAGGCCGCAGGAGCGCUGAGCCCCGGCGAGCGGCGGCAGCUGGACGAGGAGGCGGGAGGCGCUAAGGCGGAGCUGCUGCUCAAGCUGCUCCUGGCCAAGGAGCGGGACCACUUCCAGGACCUGCGGGCGGCGCUGGAGAAGACGCAGCCUCACCUGCUGCCCAUUCUCUACCUGAACGGCGUGGUCGGGCCGCCGCAGCCCGCCGAGGGCGCCGGCUCCACGUACAGUGUCUUGUCCAUCAUGCCCUCAGACUCGGAGAGCAGCAGCUCCCUCAGCAGUGUGGGCACCACUGGGAAGGCGCCGUCCCCACCGCCGCUGCUCACUGACCGGCAAGUGAAUGAGAAGGUGGAGAACCUCUCCAUUCAGCUGCGGCUGAUGACCCGGGAGAGGAAUGAGCUGCGGAAGCGCCUGGCCUUCGCCACCCACGGGACCACCUUCGACAAGAGGCCCUACCACAGGCUGAAUCCGGACUACGAGAGGCUGAAGAUCCAGUGUGUGCGGGCCAUGUCAGACCUGCAGAGCCUGCAGAACCAGCACACCAACGCCCUGAAGAGGUGCGAGGAGGUGGCCAAGGAGACCGACUUCUACCACACGCUCCACAGCCGGCUCCUGAGCGACCAGACCCAGCUGAAGGAUGAUGUGGACAUGCUGAGGCGGGAGAACGGACAGCUGCUACGGGAACGUAACCUGCUCCAGCAGUCGUGGGAGGACAUGAAGCGGCUCCACGAGGAGGACCAGAAGGAGAUCGGUGACCUCCGGGCCCAGCAGCAGCAGGUGUUGAAGCACAACGGGUCAUCAGAAAUUCUCAACAAGCUGUAUGACACGGCCAUGGACAAGCUGGAGGUGGUUAAGAAGGACUAUGACGCCCUGCGGAAGAGGUAUAGCGAGAAAGUCGCCGUCCACAGCUCGGACCUGAGCCGCCUGGAGCAGCUAGAGGAGGAGAACCAGCGCCUUCUGAAGCAGACGGAGAUGCUGACCCAGCAGAGGGACACGGCCAUCCAGCUGCAGCACCAGUGCGCCCUCUCCCUGAGGAGGUUCGAGGCCAUCCACCACGAGCUGAACAAGGCCACGGCCCAGAACAAGGACCUGCAGUGGGAGAUGGAGCUGCUGCAGUCGGAGCUGACGGAGUUGAGGACCACACAGGCGAAAACUGCCAAGGAGUCAGAGAAGUACAAGGAGGAGCGGGAUGCGGUGUACAGCGAGUACAAGCUCAUCAUGAGCGAGCGCGACCAGGUCAUCUCCGAGCUGGACAAGCUGCAGACCGAGGUGGAGCUGGCUGAGUCCAAGCUCAAGAGCAGCACGUCUGAGAAGCAGGCGGCCAGCGAGGAGAUGGAGGCGCUGCGACAGAUCAAAGACACGGUGACAAUGGACGUGGGGAGAGCCAACAAGGAGGCUGAAAUCCUUCGAAAGCAGUGCAAGGCUCUGUGCCAGGAGCUGAAGGAAGCCCUCCAGGAGGCGGAUGUGGCCAAGUGCCGGCGGGACUGGGCCUUCCAGGAGCGGGACAAGAUCGUGGCGGAGCGGGACAGCAUCCGGACGCUCUGUGACAACCUGAGGCGGGAGCGGGACCGGGCGGUGAGCGAACUGGCUGAGGCCCUGCGCAGCCUGGAUGACACUCGCAAACAGAAGAACGACGUCAGCCGGGAGCUGAAGGAGCUCAAGGAGCAGAUGGAAUCCCAGUUGGAAAAGGAGGCCCGGUUCCGGCAGCUGAUGGCCCAUAGCUCCCACGACUCGGCCAUUGACACAGACUCCAUGGAGUGGGAAACAGAAGUCGUGGAGUUUGAAAGGGAGACGGAGGAUAUUGACUUGAAGGCACUUGGUUUCGAUAUGGCAGAGGGUGUGAAUGAGCCUUGUUUGCCGGGGGACUGUGGCAUAUUUGUCACUAAAGUGGACAAAGGAAGCAUCGCUGAUGGCCGCUUACGGGUCAAUGACUGGCUGUUGAGAAUCAACGACGUGGACCUCAUCAAUAAGGACAAGAAGCAGGCCAUGAAGGCGCUCCUCAACGGGGAGGGGGCCAUCAACAUGGUCGUGCGUCGGAGGAAGUCCCUGGGCGGGAAGGUGGUCACACCGCUGCACAUCAACCUGAGUGGGCAUAAAGACAGCGGCAUCAGCCUGGAGAAUGGAGUGUAUGCUGCCGCCGUGGUGCCCGGAAGCCCGGCUGCCAAAGAGGGGUCCCUCGCCGUGGGAGACAGGAUUGUGGCUAUCAAUGGCAUUGCACUGGACAACAAGUCUCUGAAUGAGUGUGAAUCUCUGCUGCGGAGCUGCCAGGACUCCCUGACCCUCUCCCUCCUGAAGGUGUUCCCUCAGAGCGCGUCGUGGAGCGGCCAGAACAUCUUUGAAAACAUCAAGGACUCUGAUAAGAUGCUGAGCUUCCGAGCCCAUGGUCCGGAGGUCCAGGCUCAGAAUAAACGGAAUUUGAUGCAGCACAACAACUCCACGCAGACGGACAUCUUCUACGCCGACAGGCUGGAGGACAGGAAGGAGUCUGGCCCCCCAGGAGGCAGCAGCUCCUUCCUGCACAAGCCGUUCCCCGGGGGAACCUUCCCCGUCUCCCCCCAGGCCUGUCCCAGUGCCUCCGAGCGUAGCCUGAGCCCCUUUCGCUCGGACGCCUCGGGGGAGCGUGGCUCUGGGCCGGUGGACGUGCGUAGCCGGCGGCCUCUGCUGCCCUUCGAGACUGAGGUGGGCCCCUGUGGGGAGGCAGAGGCCUGCCUGGACAAGGCAGAGCCCGAGAAUGCCAACAGCGGCGGGACCUGGCCCAAGGCUGUGCUCAGCUCCACGGCAGGACCCGAGAAGCUCUCCGUUUACAAGAAGCCAAAGCAAAGAAAGUCUAUCUUUGACCCAAACACUUUCAAACGCCCCCAGACGCCCCCCAAAAUAGACUACCUGCUCCCAGGCCCUGGGCCUGCUUACUCCCCCCUGCCCUCCAAGAGGGUGGGACCUCUGACGCCCCCAAAACCUCCCAGGAGGGGUGACUCCAUUAAGUUCCAGCACAAACUGGAAACCAGUUCUGAGUCAGAGGCCACUCUAGUGGGCAGCUCCCCAUCCACCAGCCCCCCGAGCGCCCUGCCCCCCGACAUGGACCCCGGGGAGCCCAUGCACGCCUCGCCCCCUCGCAAGGCCAGGGUCCGCAUUGCUUCCAGCUACUACCCCGAAGGGGACGGGGACUCCUCCUACCUGCCGGCCAAGAAGUCCUGUGACGAGGACCUCACCUCCCAGAAGAUGGACGAGCUGGGGCAGAAGCGCCGCCGGCCAAAGUCUGCUCCCAGCUUUCGGCCCAAGCUCGCUCCAGUAGUGAUCUCUGCUCAGUUCCUGGAGGAGCAGAAGAGCGUCCCGGCCAGUGGAGAGCUCUCCCCAGAUCUCCAGGAGUGGUCCCCUUACUCGCCAGGGCAUUCCAGCCGGCACAGCAACCCCCCCUUCUACCCCAGCAGGGCGUCUGUGGGUGGAGCAGGGCCAGAAGUUUGCAUAGAUCUGGGGCUGGCUGGAUGCUUUGGGGCCACUGUCUCACCCUGCCCAUUUGCAGGCACUGUUCCCCGCAGUAUGACCCCGAGCACCACUGUGAGCUCCGUCCUGAGGAACCCCAUCUACACCGUGCGCAGCCACAGGGUCGGCCCUUGCAGCUCUCCGCCUGUCCCCAGAGAGGCUGGCCCCCAGGGUUUGCAUCCUAGUGUCCAGCACCAGGGCCGCCUGAGCCUGGAUCUGAGCCCCAGGGCCUGCAGCGACUGCUCUGAGAUGAGAGCCUCCCACGGGUGCAACUCCCUGCCCUCCAGCGCCCGCCUUGGGUCUUCGAGCAACUUGCAGUUUAAGGCAGAACGCAUUAAAAUCCCAUCAACGCCAAGAUAUCCGCGGUCUGUCGUGGGCUCUGACAGAGGCUCGCUGUCCCACUCGGAGUGCAGCACUCCCCCGCAGUCUCCUCUGAAUGUCGAAGGCCUGUCCUCCUGUAGCCCAUCCCAGACCUCAGCCGCCACAUUGCCCAGGAUUGCCGUCAACCCCGCGGCCCUCGGGGAGCGCCGAAAGGACAGGCCCUACGUGGAGGAGCCACGCCAUGUGAAGCUGCAGAAGGGCUCGGAGCCGCUGGGCAUCUCCAUCGUGAGCGGGGAGAAGGGCGGUGUCUACGUGUCCAAGGUGACCGGGGGGAGCAUCGCUCACCAGGCCGGCCUUGAGUACGGGGACCAGUUACUUGAGUUCAAUGGCAUAAACCUGCGGAGCGCCACGGAGCAGCAGGCCCGGCUCAUCAUCGGGCAGCAGUGCGACACCAUCACCAUCCUGGCCCAGUACAACCCGCACAUGCACCAGCUGAGCGGCCACUCCCGGUCCAGCUCCCACCUGGACCCUGUCAGUCCCCACUCCACUCUCCAGGGCAGCAGUGCCACCACCCCGGAGCAUCCCUCUGUCAUUGACCCACUGAUGGAGCAGGACGAGGGCCCUGGCACACCCCCGGCCAAGCAGAGCAGCCCCAGCUCCAGGAUGGUGGGAGAUGCCGCCAAGAAGACCCCAGAACCACGAGUUGUUUUCAUCAAGAAGUCCCAGCUGGAGCUUGGCGUGCACUUAUGUGGUGGGAACCUGCAUGGGGUGUUCGUGGCCGAGGUGGAGGACGACAGUCCUGCCAAGGGCCCCGACGGCCUCGUGCCUGGGGACCUCGUCCUUGAGUACGGUAGUCUGGACGUGCGCAACAAGACGGUGGAGGAGGUCUAUGUGGAGAUGCUGAAGCCCAAGGACAGUGUCCGCCUGAAGGUGCAGUACCGCCCUGAGGAGUUCACCAAGGUCAAGGGCCUGCCUGGCGACAGCUUCUAUAUCAGGGCCCUCUAUGAGCGGCUGGCAGAGGUGGAGCAUGAGCUGAGCUUUAAGAAAGAUGACAUCCUCUACGUGGAUGACACCUUGCCCCAGGGCUCAUUUGGGUCCUGGAUGGCCUGGCAGCUGGAUGAGAAUGCCCAGAAGAUCCAGCGCGGGCAGAUCCCCAGCAAAUAUGUGAUGGACCAAGAAUUCUCCCGGAGGCUCAGCAUGUCUGAAGUCAAGGAUGACAACACCACCGCAAAGACGCUCUCGGCGGCUGCACGCAGGUCCUUCUUUCGAAGGAAACAUAAGCAUAAACGCAGCGGGUCCAAAGAUGGGAGAGACCUCCUUGCCUUGGACACCUUUUCCAACGACUCCAUUCCACUCUUUGAAGAUUCGGUGAGCCUUGCCUAUCAGCGGGUCCAGAAGGUGGACUGCACCUCCCUGAGGCCCGUCUUGAUCCUGGGGCCUUUACUGGAUGUGGUGAAGGAAAUGCUCGUGACCGAGGUGCCCGGCAAGUUCUGCAGAUGCCCCCUUGAGGUGAUGAAGGCCUCCCAGCAGGCCAUCGAGCGGGGCGUCAAAGACUGCCUGUUUGUCGACUAUAAGCGGAGGAGUGGCCACUUUGACGUGACCACAGUGGCUUCCAUAAAGGAGAUCACAGAAAAGAACCGGCACUGUCUCCUGGACGUCGCCCCCCACGCCAUUGAGCGGCUGCACCACAUGCACAUCUACCCCAUCGUCAUCUUCAUCCACUACAAGAGCGCCAAACACAUCAAGGAGCAGAGAGACCCCAUCUACCUGAAGGACAAGGUGACUCAGAGGCAUUCCAAAGAGCAGUUUGAGACGGCUCAGAAGAUCGAGCAGGAGUACAGCAGGUUCUUCACAGGUAGGUGUGCGUCAGGCCUGCAGAGGAGGAGCAGGCGGCGGGGACGGAUGCAGGCUUCCCAAGGACGUCCUUCCUAGAAGUGGUAACAGCCCGCGCUUCCGGGGUGCCCGGUGGAUGCUGGCACGGUGAGCACUUGCGUCACAGCUGGAGUGAUGGCAGGCCCAGGGCAGCUUCAGGAAGUUGCAGGCCCAAAGGUAAAGUCCGCUAAUCCCGGCCUCGGGUCACAGCCUGGCGCUGGGUGGCGGCUGCACAGGCGCCCUGUAGCACAGCCCCAGCGUCCCCUGGGCGGCUAGCACGGCGGCGGUGGCCGUGACCAUCUGUCCCCAGCGCCUUCCAGGUCAGGCCAGGUUUGCAGUGAAGUUUGAAGACAAGCUGCACCUUCACUAUCUCUGGUCUUCGAUACAAAGCAAACCAGGAGAAGCAGGGUUCCAGUUGACCAACUGCCAUUUCACUUGGUGACUUUCAACCUCUCCCAUGAAAUCAGUCAUUUGUAGGGGGCAUAAUAACACCGUGGCCACAGAGAGGUGGAGACAGUGAUUUUAAUUAACUUGCGGAGAGUGUUGUGAUCUAGUUCGGUGCUUCUCAUGCAACAUUUGGCCUCAAAACCCAGCCUUGGUGCUUCUGUCUACGGGUCGUCCAGGGAGGAGCCCUGUCGAGCAUUUGCGCUCAGAUCUUGGCAAUGGUCAAUCAAGAGCAGAAUAAAGUCCUGUGGAUCCCAGCCAGCCCUCUCUAGAACUCGGUGCUGGGGACGGCUGCAGCGUGGCCGCCGGCGUGACUGCCGGGCUCAGCUCUCUUUAGCGACUAAAGAUAGACGCCUCUGUAUAUAAACGCGAAGGGGAAGGAUCCAUGAAGCAGGACUCCAGAAGCACCUCCUUUGUAGACAGAGGGCCGCAGACUCUAUGCCUCUCACUCGUGCGCUGUAAGACAGAAGACUCUGUAGAGGGGCUCGACACCAACCUUUCUCGUAGCCAGCUCAUCAGAGAUGCUGCAAAGAGAACCUUUCAGAUCACAAGUUUACAAGCCUUUUCUAAGUAUUCGGUUGUUUAUGUUUACUUGAACGGCUCCAUGUUGUCGCUGCCCAGCCCCUGCCCUCUUCCUCACUGUCGCUUUGAUGUUGGUUUUGUGCCUCUUUUCAGCGAGACGACUCUGGAGCCUCGCUGGGGGCCGCUUUGCUUUGGGAGGUUCUUGUCAGUGGGACCAGAGCUUUGACAAACUUCAUGCUCCUUGGUGGUACCUCUCCUGGAAGGACCUGCGAGUGCGGAUGCUUCGACCGUCGGCGGGCGCGGAACCAGUGCCUUUGUGGGGCAGACUCUCCGGCGGCAGUGUAUUCCCCUCCUGCACAGAGGAGGGCGACUUGGGCCCGUCUCGCGGACGCGUCCCUCAGACUUCGUCUCCGGCCCUCUGCGUCCUCUUCUCGUCCACCUGCAUCCAUGAUUCCAGCGUUCUCUCUGGCCCUCGGAGCUUCACGGGUUCACUGUGACACAGCCGGUUCCAGGCAGGGUGUUAGGCUGGGGCUGAUGCAUGCCACUGGGUCCUCUUUAGGUUCUGUGAAUAGUGACAGCCUUUACCAGUGCAGAUUUUGCAGGGUAAUUCCUCAGCGCUCUAGAGUGGGGCGGGCACAUCAGCUCUACUUGAUAUAAAAACAGUCGUGUUUCAGACUUUGAGCAGAGAACCCUUACGGAAGCUUAAGGAUUAGUGCAGUCACUGUCAAAACUCAAAGAGAAACCGGGAUCUAUCUAGUUUUGGCUCCAGCGCUUACAGCAUGAGCAGUGCUCCACGGGGAUGGCUUUGUUUGGGGUUUGUGUGGUUUUUUUUGUUUUGUUUUUUUUUUUCUACCGCUUCUGACGCUGGAUGUUUCUGGCUGAAGGUUUGAUCUGGUUCCUUCUUAAACUGUGCGUCCUCUUAAUAAUAGGUACUGUACGGGGCUCCGGGUAAGUGUCACUGGGGUAGGACCUCUAUUUUAAUACUGUUCCUAACAUUUCAUUUUACUAGCAAGAAAUCGCUGAUUUCAUUUUAUUCUUUGUAAUUCUAGACACUAGAUUAUAGUUUAGCCAUAGUGACAUUUUUUUAAAAAAGGGAUAUAUUUUCUUGCACAGUUGUUCGAAAAGAGACACGUUUCAGUCCUCAGUGCUGCCCUUCGUUUCACAGGUACACGCGUUCUGGCUCAGACAACUGGGACCCCCUGCAGGCUGUCGAGGGGUCUCACUGGCGCCCCGCGGGGCUGCUGCUCUGGGCGGCGGGGGUGGGACGGUGAUGGUACAGUGUGCACAGGUACUGUUCGGACAGACUGGGAUUUUCUGUACUAAAACCUUCCUUUGUAUCGAAAGUUAAACAGACUUUAGUACAAUAAAUAAAGGUCAAUUUCUGUAA